rnacentral:lncRNA from 1 species
UUGGAAUGGGAGAGGCUGUGAGGUGUCCUGGUGUUUCUCUCUGCAGGAGCUGCUGUCACUGGGGCCCUCUGGUCCCUUCACCUCUCCUGACCCAUCCCACGCCCCACCAUGGCCCGGUGCUGGUCCCCACACCCAGUGCCUGGCCUGGCAGGAGGCCCCAGUGCCAGGUGGUGAUCCUGGCGCUCCCAGUUUCCUGGUGCUGCAGCUGUCGAGUUCUCCCACUUCCUCAGAGCUACAGCUUCUCGGUGCUGUGGCUGCCCAAUGCUUCCAGUUCCUGGCUGAACGCUGCUCCCGGUUCCCCGUGCCGGAGGUGCCUGGUCCUCCCGGUUCUCCUGUGCCCAUGAUUUGCUGGCUUCCUGAGGCUCCUGGUUCCCUGGAGCCGCGGCUCUCUGGAGCCGCCGGUUUCCCGGUUUCCCUGUGCUGCAGCUUCCCGACGGUCCCGGCUUGUAGAUGCCCAUGGUUUUACCACUUCCCGAUGCCCACGGCUUCCCGGUUCCCCGGUGCUGUGACUCCCGAUGCUCCUGAUUCCCCGGUGCCCACAGUUUUCUCUCUCCCCGGUGCCCACGGUUUUCCCGCUCUCUGGUUGCCUCCUUCCCCRUGUUCCCAGUGUUGCAGCUCUCCAGUGCCCACGGUUAACCCUUUCCCGGUGCCCCCGGUUUUCCCGUGCCCACCAUUCCCUGGUUCUCUGGAUCCCACGACUCCCGGAUGCKCUGGUUUCCCGUUUCCCCGAUCCUGUGACUUCCCAGUUGCUCGGCAGUCCCGGUUCCCCGGUGCCCACGGUUUUCCCAUUCCCUGGCUUCCCGUUUCUCGGUUGCUGCGUCUCCCUUCUCCUCUCGGUUCUCCGGUUCCCACGGUUCUCCCGCUCCCCGGUUGCCCAUUUUCCCGUUUCCCCGGUGCUGCGGCUUUCCAGUACUCACGAUUUCCUGGAGCCCACAGCUCCCCCGUUCCCCGGUUUCCCUUUUCYCCGGUACUGCGGCUCCCCGUGUUCCCGGUUACCCGGUGCCGCGCCUCCCCAUUGCUCCCGAUUCCUCGAUGCUCCCGGUUUCACGUUUCCCCAGUGUUCCCGGUUCUCUGGCUUCCCGUUUCCACGGCGCUGCGGCUCCCAGUCUUCCCGGUUGCCCGGUUCCCCGAUGCUCCCGUUUCCCC